CGCGUGAGAAUCUAGCUCUAGGUCGGGGACAACCACUGGAAACGGUGGCUAAUACCGGAUGUGCCGAGAGGUAAAAGGCUUGCUGCCUAGAGAUGAGCUCGCGUCUGAUUAGCUAGUAGGUGUGGUAAGAGCGCACCUAGGCGACGAUCAGUAGCUGGUCUGAGAGGAUGAUCAGCCACACUGGGACUGAGACACGGCCCAGACUCCUACGGGAGGCAGCAGUGGGGAAUUUUCCGCAAUGGGCGAAAGCCUGACGGAGCAAUACCGCGUGAGGGAGGAAGGCUCUUGGGUUGUAAACCUCUUUUCUCAGGGAAUAAAAAAAUGAAGGUACCUGAGGAAUAAGCAUCGGCUAACUCCGUGCCAGCAGCCGCGGUAAUACGGAGGAUGCAAGCGUUAUCCGGAAUGAUUGGGCGUAAAGGGUCCGCAGGUGGCCCUGUAAGUCUGCUGUUAAAGAGUGAGGCUUAACCUCAUAAGAGCAGUGGAAACUACAGAGCUAGAGUGCGUUCGGGGUAGCAGGAAUUCCUGGUGUAGCGGUGAAAUGCGUAGAGAUCAGGAAGAACACCGGUGGCGAAAGCGUGCUACUAGGCCGUAACUGACGCUGAGGGACGAAAGCUAGGGGAGCGAAUGGGA
rnacentral:rRNA from 1 species